rnacentral:lncRNA from 1 species
CCGACCAGUCCCAUCCGCCGCCGCGCGCUCCCGAUCCGGAGGAGCAGCUCCUCCCACGCCCGAGCCCGCUGAACCCAGCCUAGCACCCGCGCCCACCGCCCCUGUGCAGGUCCGCCUCGUCGAAGAUCCACAUCGCGUCGCUGCCCGUUCAGGAUCCAACCUCAACGCCUCCUGGCUAGGCUUGAGGAACGCAUGCCGGGAGAGCCUCCGCCGCGCCGGUGGUAGCGGCGGCGAGGCCGACGCGCCAACGACCAUUGUUCAAGGGGCCAUGCAGGAUGUGCUUCCGCAUCACCCUCUCCUCCACUCCGACGGUGGCCUCGGACAGGGCAGGAAUUGGAUAACACGUCCACCACCUGAUCGAGCACAACCGCAACAGAGGAGGGCCACCUCUGCCUCGUCGUGCAGGAGAUGCUUCACUAGGGCUGAAGUCAUUGUCUGGUUCUUCUUCCUUCUAUGAUUCCAUUUUGAUUUUUUGCCGGUAGUUCAUGAUGUCGUUUCUCCACAAUCCUUACCGUGCUUGUGUAGAAGAACAGAUCCAAUUUUUCGAGAGAAACAUGCUUUGUUGAUCUGUUGCUGCUGCUCACGCAGGUGUCGGAGCAGGUGCUUCGUGACGGCUGGGUUUGUCUAUAGGUAUGUCCUUUUUGUGUUGAAUUUGAGCACAACUAGUCUGGUUUGUUUUAGCCUCAUUUGUUUUAGUACACGACCCGUUCCUUUGUCCAGAAUCUGGGUGGAAAGGACGUUCUUUCUCCAUCAUAUGGGCUGGUCCCAAAGAAUGCAAGUUUUGGAAGAUGAAACUGCUCAUUAAAGGCAGGACCAUUAGGGCCAUCCUCAAUAGGAAACAAAGGAAAGGUUUCCAGUGGGUUUCUCAGAUGAUCUUCUUCGCUCAUAGUCUUGGUCGAAUGUCAUCAGGUGUAGGCACACCUUCCUCAAUAGGCUUGAGAGGAGCACGAGGCUUCCUUGAUUUCUCUUAUACUGAUUGCUUUGGGGCACUUGUCUGACUAUCAUUUUUGCUGCCGGAACUCCUUCAGUGGGUUUCUAACUUUCGGGCACUAGGGCCCUUUCUUUCAGUGUAUUUCCUUCCGUUGGAGGCACAACGACCUCUUUCUCAGAUGCUCAGGGCACAACUGGUGGAGCAAUAACUUCUUGAGCCAUCGGCUCAACAGAUUUCUUUUCUUCCUCUUCCAAUCAUGGUGCAAUGGAACGAGGAGCAGGAUCAAUAUCCAUCUGGGCAGGGGCAUCAGAUGAUGUGACCUGGGUGGUUUUGUCUCUGGAAGCAUUUAACUCCCCCUCAUUCUUGUCAGUCUCCUCCUUAUUUGAGUCGGAGGGCUCAGCUUGCAUUUUUCUCGGAGGCGAUGGAUCUGCCUUCUCAACUUCAAUUUCCUCAUCAACAUCAUCAACAUGUGCUUGCUGCUCAGGCGAGGCAUUUCCUUCAUUAGUUUUUUCCAGGAAGAUAUCAACAACAUCAGGUUGUUCUUGAGCUGCUGGAGUAGGAAUGAUAACCUCCACAUGGUCAGCUUGCUGCAUUGGUUCAUCUUCAUGAGGUGGAGAUGGUGGAACCUGAUGUAAGGGAGUGAUGGAAUCAAGUGGAGCAUCAGCAGCAACAGUCUGAAGGCAGCGAUCUUUGUUUACUUUCGGAUAGCUAGCUCUCGGUUUAGCCUUCUGACGUUUUUCUUCUUUGAUUCUUCUGCGAGCAAGAUCCGCCUUGCGGUCAAUUUCCUCGUUUCUCCUGUCACACAACUGAGAUAACUUCAUGUGCAGCCACGAAUGCCAAUUAAUUUUAUUAUUCCGCAUGAGUCUGAGAGCCUUGGUGAUUUCAACAAUCUCUUUGUUCAGAUUAUUUCUUUCGAAUUCAGUGUUGGACUCUCUCCUCAUUUGCUUGAGAACUUGCUUGUCUUUGAUAGCUUGAUUCAGCUUCUUGGAGAUUUUCCUCAGCUCAAUGAAAUGUUUCGUUACCAUUUUGGUAACAUCGUCAGGUAAUCCCAGACGGCUGAGAUCAUCAGAUUUUGCAUCAUAUGCAGCACUGUCAAUAACAUCGAUCAUGAACUUGAAGUCAUUUGCUGUUCCUCUAUGGAAGCAGGAACACUAGGUUUGGCCUUCUUAGCAGAAGCAUCAGCUUUUCGUUCAGACUGCAGCUUUCUCUUCACUGCGGGUUUAGACAAGGAUCUUGGUGAUCUCCUUGGAGAGCGCAAAACUUUCACUAGUGAGGGGCUCUUAGACGGCUUGUUGAGAAUGGCAUGUUGAUCAUACAUGGGAAUUUCAUCAGCAGCAUCUUCGCUGGAUGACUCAUCAGACAAGUCAGAAACAACUUUCUUGGAUUUCUUGACAGUGGUUUUCUUUCGGGGAGCACGAGGGGAAACAUAUUUCGUGGACUUGCUUCCUUUGGAGGCAUAAGCAUGAUCUUUCUUCAUCUGGACGUCUUGCUGAGUUAGCGCAACGUUUUCAGCUUCGACUUGGUUUUUCUUCGCUUCCCUAGCAUCAUGCUUAGCUUUGGCUUUCGUCCUCUUAGCCACUUCCUCGGGAAAAUCAACGAUGAUUUUGAGGGAGUAGGGAUGAGAAUUUUGAGGCUAUGGUAGUCUGACUUUUUCGUCAUCGGGGCAAAAACAGCUUUCAGCAAUGCAGUCAUUCCACGGUGGUGUGAAGGCAAACAGAAUCUGAUACUUCUUGCAAACAUUUUCAUAGUUGUACCAUUUCUUUGCCCAGUGGCGGUGAAUCCUUUGAAGCCUGUUGUUGCGUUCAGUUGCUGAUUCACCAGGUGGAUUUCUGUAACUUUCUGGAUCAGACAUUUUAGAAGUGGUAUUCUUCUCUCUGCCACGAGCACCCUUUUUGGGAUUUCCAUCAGAGAAGAGGGUUAGGGUGUCUGUGACCAAUUCAUCCUCGGGCUGACUGUGAGCAGAGGGAGUUACUUGAUGUGAAGUGGAACUCCGUACGACCGAUCUUUCACGAAAGGAGCGGAUCCCGACUAAGGACACGAUGAACACUGGGAAGAACGGAGAGAAAACACAAGGGGAAACACUCAAGAACAAGUCCAAUCACACAUCCACUAGACAAUCAAACACACAAGAUCCACAAGGUACAUGAAUAACAAAGGGAAAGAUACAAGGUAAGGUUCAUCUCCAUGAGGAGGUCUUGAAGGGGGCCGCCCAAGAGGGGGUCUUGAUGAUAUAUCCCGCAGGAUCUUCUCCUAGAUGGAGGUCUUGGCCUCCAUAAGGAGUAGUAGUCUCUCUCUCUCUCAAGAGUAGAGUGGUACAAGGAGCAAAGCUCUCUAUCAAAUGAGCUAUCACUUUGCUAACCCUAGAAAGGAGGGGGGAAAAGUCUAUUUAUAGUCUAAGCCACGAAGGGGUAAGUGGGAGAGAGAUACAAGGCCAAAGGCCCGGCUACGCACAGGCAGGGUCGGACGUUCGGUCGCUCGCGGGGGUCUGGUCGUCCGGAGGGCGUCGGACUUCCGCUAAUAUCGUUCUGUCGCCGUGGCACCGGUCGUCCGGUCGGUGUCGUUCGUCCGUGCGCUGGGACUUGUCGGACGUCCGGCGUUCGUCGGUCGUCCGACCGCUAUAGCUUUCGUCGGUUGGACUUCUGGGCUGGCUGGAGCUCCAGGCGUCGGACGUCCGGCGUUGUCCGGUCGUCCGGUGGCUGUAGAUCGUCGGACGUCCGAUGGCUCGUCGGUCGUCCGGCCGCUGGGGACUCCGCAGCUCCGUCUUCUUCCGUCUUCGCUUCCACGCUUCCCUCACGGAUGGUGUAGUUGUUCCUUGGCGCUUGCACUCCUCCUCGUCAUCCGUGAAGCUCCGACGAUACCUAUGCAUGCACACGGGUGGAGUGUCAAGUAGUAUACCAUCCUCGAAGGGGUUAAGUGAACACGUGUAAAGGUGAAGAUUCACCUUUAUGUAUGAGAAGUAGCGGUCGCACGUGUCACUUGCCAAAUGGACUCUUGACAUGGUGAUGUCCAUAGGAUGCUCCGCAUCAUCUCCCCUCCCUUGGGAAAGAUCCGACCUCAGAUCGAAAACCAAAUCACCAUGGGAAAGAGAUGGCUUCGCCGUGUAGGAGUGGACGUUCACCAAGUACUUGUCAUCUAGAAACUCGAAGUGGGCACUCUCCAAUGUCGCACCGUCUAGUGAUUCCUUCAAAAGGAGCAAGAACAACAAACACUUGGAAAAACAAAUGUGGUUAGCGUUAGUGCAAAACCAAGCAUUCAAGAGGUAAUUCACCAAACAAGUGUCGUCAUCAUGCAAAGCAUAUGGUGUGACAAGGGAUUGUGACAUGGCAUGUAAGCAUAUCAAUCGAGCACAAGCAAAGAUAUCAUGGGGACAAGCAUGUAAAUGUGAGGUAGUGAUGCAAAUAUGUGUGUCAAGAUAAUAAGCAUCUACCUCAAGUUCAUAGCAAGCAUGGGCAAAGCGCUCAAUGAAAGGUCUAUGGUAGGCAUAGGAAUCAUUCACAACACCAAAUAAAAUGAAGUGUCUAAACACAUGGGUCAAGUGCAAGACAAUCCAAGCAUAGCGUGCAUAAGGUGUAGUGAAUUGUAACGCCCACGAUGCGGCUAUAUCUCCCACGUGUCGAGGCACGACUUAGAGGCAUAACCGCAUUGUGGUAUUGUCACAAGAAGGGUCAUCUUCACACAAUCCCAUGUAAUGAACAAGAAUGGGAUAACGAGAGUUGGCUUACAAUCGCCACUUCACACAAUACAUAAAUUAAUUCAUACAACAUCCAAAAUCCACACAUAGACCGACUACGGUCAAAUCCAAAUGGAAAUAAGAUAACCCCAAAUGCUAGAUCCCCGAUCGUCCCAACUGGGCUCCACUACUGAUCAUCAGGAAAAGAAACAUAGUAACGACCACGUUCCUCGUCGAACUCCCACUUGAGCUCGGUUGCGUCAUCUGCACUGGCAUCGUCGGCACCUGCAACUGUUUUGGUAGAAUAUGUGUGUCACGAGGACUCAGCAAUCUCACACCCGCGAGAUCAAGACUAUUUAAGCUUAUAGGAAAGGGGUGGUGUAAUGAGGUGGAGCUGCAGCAGGCACUAAGCAUAUAUGGCGGCUAACAUACGCAAAUGAGAGCGAGAAGAGAAGCAACGCAACGGCCGCGAAGCUAGAAAUAAUCAAGAAGUAAUCCUGAAACUACUUACGUUCAUGCAUAACUCAAGCCGUGUUCACUUCCCGGACUCCGCCGAGAAGAGACCAUCACGGCUACCCACACGAUUGAUGUAUUUUAAAUUGGGUCAAGUGACAAGUUCUCUACAACCGGACAUUAACAAAUUCCCAUCUGCCUCAUAACCGCGGGCAUGGCUUUCGAAAGAUAAUACCCUGCAGGGGUGUCCCAACUUAGCCCAUCAUAAGCUCUCACGGUCAACGAAGGAUAAACCUUCUCCCGGGAAGACCCGAUCAGUCUUGGAAUCCCGGUUUACAAGACAUUUCGACAAUGGUAAAACAAGACCAACAAAGCCGCCCGAUGCGCCGACAACAUCUGCCUCAUAAGCUUUCCGAAGGUGUGUGAAGCCACCAUGUCGAGGCGUAGUCGUGGAAGUUUCUUGUGGCGCACUUCACUUGAUCUUCGGGAGGAACUUGAUGUAGCUUGAGUAGUCGUCCAUUAGGCGCUCCCACUCGAGAUACUCCUCGGGUUCUUGAGUCCCAUAGAAAGGAAUCGUGUGGUCGAUGUCGAGGUCGUAGUAGCUCGUGGAAGUCGCGGACUUGAGCUUGGGGAGCUUCUCUUGAGCGUAGUCUUGGGGUGCUUGUUGGCGAAGAUGCCGUAUGUACGUAGGCGAAGAUGCCUUGAAGUCGCUUGGCGAAGAUGCCAAGGGCAAUGGUGAAGUCGUUGAGCGGUUGUUGGUGUUGAGCUCGUGACCUUCACGUUCUUGUUGGUGUUGGUGUCGAUGUGACCUUGCCGGAGAUGGUAGCUCGGAAGCAUGUGCUCUUGAGCGUCUUCUCGAAGAUGAGGAAGAUAGCUUGUAGGACUUGAUGAGGGCUUUGAUCUCCUCUAUUUGAGCAUGCAUCUUGGCGUCGGUGGAGUUUUUCGUGGCAUCAAACUCGUCAUUGUUGUUGUAGACCGAAGGUGAAAUGCCUUGCCUAUCCAUCACAAUACUCGAGUAGAGGUGAGUAGGAAAUGAGAUAAACAAUACCAAGUUACCUUUUCCCAAAGUUGAGGAUGUAUCCCAUUUCACUCAAUGUGAGAUGAAAGAAUAGUGGAAUUGGUACCAGACUUGUUCACUCACACCUAUCAAACUAAAGCUUAUGGAGUAGCUCGGUGAGGAUAGUGGCACAAAAAUUUAAUGCAAAAUGUUAGCAAGAGCCAAUAAUGUUGAAAGAGAUUCACAAAUUCGCAAGUGAAACAAGUAGACCAAUAGCAAUAUGUGGCACACGGAAACACACACACAGAUAGAUAAAUGGGGUCGUGCAACCAAGGAAUGAGCACAAAAUGUGGAAUCCACGGAAAACGCUCGUGUUGCACAACUCAAGAGAGACGCUAGCACGAUUUCUCAAUAGGCGGAUACGACACUUGUGCACAACCUAUAAGAUGCAAAAUGGAUAAACUUUUCUAUCCCAAGUAUGCUAUGUAUGUAUGGUUCCCGGUGUUUGAUCCAAGAUGAUCGGAUAUGACAAUCUUAUGCAAUGUGGUAAGAUGCUAUGGCUAUUGCUUACAAGCUUCUUUGCUCUUUCCCUUUUGCUUAAAAGCUUUUUCUUUUUUUAUAUGGCCACAAUGCGAAAUGCACAAACCAAGAUAGCUAUCGUAUAUAUGCGGGAACAAACUUGUGACACAAUGGAUGAUAUGAUACCAAGAUGAUAUGGUAUGUAUGUAAUGGAAGGUGUAUCGAUGAUCACUAAUGUGCACAUGUAACGUUGCCGAUAAUACUCAAAUGGCUAGUCUCGAUAGGCAAGUGACGCAAAAUGGGCUAGGGGUUAUCAACGCAAUUGCAAGGGGAAUGUACAAUGAUGUCGUCGAGGUUACCGUCCUUGGCGAUGAUGAGUGGCGGUGUUCUUGAUGUAGAUACCAAGAUGCUGGAGACUCGUCCCUAAGUAGCUGAAACAUCUUAGGAAACGGAAAAACCGCGAAGUCAAAAUCUCAAAUGACAAAUGGUGGUAGUGGAAAGCGAUGGUGGUUUGCACUCGGCAAUGCGGAAGCUCAAUGGGAUUGCGGAAAUGCAAUGGUGGUUUUGGAGUACGCAAUGCGGAAGUGGGGUGUAAGGUGGUGAACUAUACACGGUGUCGGAGUUGGAAGCACGGUCCCUAAGUAGCCUAAACACCUUAGGAGACACAACUCACAACACAAACAAAAUUGGGUUAAGUUGGGGUGGAAGUGUAUGGUUGGUAAGCCUAUGCGGAAGUGGCGGUGGUGGUUGAUGACGAAGCAACCGUCCCUAAGUAGCCAAAACACCUUAGGAGACUCGAAUCACAACUCAAACAACCAUGGGGAACAAAAUUGGUUAGGUUGCGGAAGUCGGUGGUGGUGUAGCGGAUGAUGUGGUGGAAGCCCUAGGCAAGGAUGCCAAAUUUUGGAAAAUUUGAUGGAGUCAAAUGAUGUUGGUGGUACUUUUGUGGGAAGGAUGAUGUCAAGAGCUUCAAAACGAGCUAAAGAACGUCAAAAAUGGAGUUCAGAUGAAUUAGUUACGGAUAAAACAAAAAUCAGCCGAAAUCAAUAUCUACAGGUUACGGACGUCUGUAAAAGGACGGAUGUCCGGUCGUCGGACGUCCGGGAGGGCUCAGAAAUCCGUAAUUUCCAUUUUGUUGGUAGGUUUCGGUCGUCCGGAAAGUUGCGGACGUCCAGGGGUCGGGGGUCAACGCGGGAUUUGAGCUCCGGGACGUGAUUUUGGGCGGAAUUUUGGGAUUUUGGGGUCAAAAUUGAGGAGAUUUCGUGGAUGGAAAGUGGGGAAACUUGGGGAAAUGCUAGAUCCACUCGAAACUAAGCAAAUCUAUGGAUCAAAUCCAACAAAAUUUCAUCAUACCAACAAAUCACAAAAAAAAUUGGGGCUAUUUUUGGUGGGGAAUUUUUGAAUUUGGGGAAGAACACAACAAAAUCAAGCUAGAAAACACAACGGGGAGGCUCCGAAAUCGUGAUCAACGUGGCUCAUGAUACCAAGAUGAUGUGGAGUGGAACUACGUACGGCCGAUCUUUCACGAAAGGAGCGGAUCCCGACUAAGGACACGAUGAACACGGGGAAGAACGGAGAGAAAACACAAGGGGAAACACUCAAGAACAAGUCCAAUCACACAUCCACUAGACAAUCAAACACACAAGAUCCACAAGGUACAUGAACAACAAAGGGAAAGAUACAAGGUAAGGUUCAUCUCCAUGAGGAUGUCUUGAAAGGGGCCGCCCAAGAGGGGGUCUUGAUGAUAUAUCCCGCAGGAUCUUCUCCUAGAUGGAGGUCUUGGCCUCCAUAAGGAGUAGUAGUCUCUCUCUCUCUCUCUCUCUCUCAAGAGUAGAGUGGUACAAGGAGCAAAGCUCUCUAUCAAAUGAGCUAUCACUUUGCUAACCCUAGAAAGGAGGGGGGAAAGGUCUAUUUAUAGUCUAAGCCACGAAGGGGUAAGUGGGAGAGAGAUACAAGGCCAAAAACCCGGCUGCGCACAGGCAGGUCGGACGCCCGGUCAGCGUCGGACGUCCGGUCGCUCGCGGGGGCCCGGUCGUCCGGAGGGCGUCGGACUUCCGCUAAUAUCGUUUUGUCGUCGUGGCACCGGUCGUCCGGUCGGUGUCGGUCGUCCGUGCGCUGGGACUUGUCGGACGUCCGGCGUCCGUCGAUCGUCCGGCCGCUGUAGCUUUCGUCGGUUGGACUUCUGGGCUGGCUGGAGCUCCAGGCGUCGGACGUCCGGCGUCGUCCGGUCAUCCGGUGGCUGUAGAUCGUCGGACGUCCGGUGGCUCGUCGGUCGUCCGGCCACUGGGGACUCCGCAGCUCCGUCUUCUUCCGUCUUCGCUUCCAUGCUUCCCUCACGGAUGUCGUAGUUGUUCCUUGGCGCUUGCACUCCUCCUCGUCGUCCGUGAAGCUCCGGCGAUACCUAUGCAUGCACACGGGUGGAGUGUCAAGUAGUAUACCAUCCUCGAAGGGGUCAAGUGAACACGUGAAGGAGAAGAUUCACCUUUAUGUAUGAGAAGUAGCGGCCGCACGUGUCACUUACCAAACGGACUCUUGACAUGGUGAUGUCCAUAGGAUGCUCCGCAUCAUUACCUCACUAUCUUCUUCGGAUUCAGACUCAGGUUUCUUCAUUGGUGCUUUGGGAGUCUUUGAAGAUUUUCCUCCUUCUAUCAAUCUCAUUCAUUCAGAUCUUGGUGGAUACUGAGGCAAUUCUCCUUCAGAACCUGAAUGCUCUUCCGAACUCUGUGCCAUGACCAACCUGUGAAAAGAAUAGAUGCGAGGGAAAAAUGGGGUAGGGCCAUAAACAUGCACAUAAGGUGUUUUGAACGAAAAACAAUGUUUCUUGGAGGAACAUAGGAAUUUAUGGUAGUCUUAGAGAAGAUAUCCUCGAUAGAUUUUAAACAAGCCAUAGCAUGUACAAGGCUGAUAAAAGACUAUCUAAUCUUUCGGAUAAGCAUACAUGAACCCUAGAUGGAGGAAAACAAGUAUGAGGAAGAUCUACAAACCGUAUCGGUCAAAUCGUAGUGAUUGCUAAAGAUCUACCGCAGAGAAAUAAAUCAAAGAAAAUAGCCUCAGUAUGAACUGCCCUAAGGAUAGAGAUGAGGACAAGGGCAGUUCAAGAUCCAAGUGCCGUAACUUGGCAACUUGGAUCAGCUACGACGAUGAGGGAGGAAAGAUUACCGCACCGGUGUGAUCAACCACGACGUAGAUCCAUCGGAGUUGCAUGGCGAGGCUCCUCGCCGGAGUUGCUUCGAGCAAGGGCUCGGGUGGAGGUGGACGCGGGUUUGAGGAAUGGGAGGAAGAAGAUGCGGCGAGGGGUAUUUAUAGCUGGCAAGCUGAACCACCUCUCCGAAAUCUACGGCUCACAGUUGCAGGACGUUCUGCAUUCAACGGACACAAUCACGAUCGUGGGGAUCGUGGGUACGUGGCAACCAUUUCAUGCGAAAAACUCGGGAUGAGAGUGGGAGACCGAACGGUUCGAAGAAGGGCAAGCGCCAAAAGAGGAUAAAAGUUCGAAGUCGAUUUCUUUCGUGACCAAGGACGUCGGAUAGAAAUUUUCUUCAGGUCAAAUUGCAUGGUUAUGAUGGACUACAAAUAUUUGGAUGAGAAAGAAUAGAGAGAUAAAAGGUUCCGAAACAAAACACUCAGCCAGAAGAGGGAAACACAAACACACGGAGCUAUGAGUGAGUUGUUCAUCGGACGAAACACAAACACAACGAAACGAAGACAAACACAUGAAAGAGAGCAAAUAAACACGAGCAACAACAAUAGUUCUCAGGGCUAAGAAUAAGCGAGUGGAAUCCCUGAGAGAAAUCCUUCAAGAGGGGUUAGUUCUUUUUCGCAAUCUACAAUUACGUGGGCAGCGAGAAUCUCAUUCGCUUUAUCCGAGCAGAUACAUUUCUCCGAUGAUUUCUGUAGUUCGCCUAUGCAUUUCGAGAGUAAUCAUAUGAAUGUGCAUUGAAAUUGUUUCCAGAGAUAUGAGCAUAAUGAUUUGAAGAGGUACGCAUGUACUUCUUAUGUCGAAGGUUUGACCGAUACCCAUUUGAGGAAGUUCCAACGCCAAUCUACGAAUGAUAAUCAUUUCCUCGAGGAGAAUUACUCUGCAUAUUCACGUUAGCAGUGACAGAUAAAUUUUCAAUGAUGCACUUCUUCACCCAGAUUUGCUUCUUGGGUGAACCAGACCUGUAGUUAGUCCCAACAUACUAAGAAAAAACCUUACCAUUCUGUUGUUUGAAGAAUUUGUAGUUUGAGUCAUCAGACUCAUCCAAAACAACAGAAAUGGGAGUACUAUAUAUCCAGACAGAAUUGCAGGUUCGAGAGUUUUUACUUUAGCAAGAACCCAACUCGUUCGAGGAUAUUGCUCGGGAGUCCAGUAGGUUCCAUCAACAUUGAGUUUUUUUGAAACCUAAUCCUUCCUUUUGGUUUUUUUGUGCAGUAUUGACUUCUUGAGCACAUCACAAAGAGUUUGAUGCCCUUUGAGGCUCUUUAGCAUUCAUGUCUCAAGCAAGUUCUUUAACCUGCAAUUUUCAUCAAUGAUAGCAACAAAUUCCUCGGAAGAGGGGUUAGACUUACCAUUCAUAGUUGUUGCAAUGUUCUUGCUGACAACAUUAGAUGUUUCAACAGUUGAAUCAUCAUUGCAACAUUCUAGGCAUUUAGAGCAAGGAGGCACAAAAUCAUCAGGAAGACGAUUAGAUUGCUCGGCAAAGAGAGAAGCUUUUUCUUUUGCAAGCACCUUAUGAGACUGUUUCAGUGACUCGAGUUCUUGAUUCCUAUUAAGGAGUUCAUCUGCUAAACUCUCGUAGUCGAUUGUAAGGGAAUCGUAUUGGUUGGAAAGAUCAUCAAUAGUUGAAGAAAAAUCAUCAUGCUCUUCGAUCAACUUUUGAUUCUUCUCCAUCUCUUCGACCAGUAAUCCUUCGGUUUUCCUAAGAUUCUUUUCAAGUUUUUCAAGCUCAUCUUGUUGAGAUUUUGCAAUCUUAACCAUUUUAGCAUAGGCAAUGUAUUCAGGAGUGUCGCGGGAAACCACGGCCACCUAUGGGACCAAAGGUCCCUUGCUGGUUUGGCGGGGGGAUGGCACAUUGCACAAAGAGCAGAAGAACGUGGGGCAGCACGGCAGAGAUCACGCCGGCAAUUUUACCCAGGUUCGGGCCGCCGUGAGGCGUUAAACCCUACUCCUGCUUUGGUGGAUUGAUGGUGGAAGAAUGGUGGUGGAGCGUACACUACUACAGCGACGUGCUAAACAAAUGGUUUUUAACCCCUUUCCGCGACGGCAUUUGGAACCGUCGCCAAGUGAGUGUGUGCGAUAGGGUGUCCUUCCCACACGACCCAGAAAUCGUCGCGGAUAGGCCCUCCUGGGACCCAGGCUGGGGCCGUGUGCGAUCGGGUGAGGCAUCGAAACCCAAUCAUUUCCGUAGGUAUGUACAUCCCACAUGGUAAUCCGAGAAAACCAUUUCCAUAGGUAUGUACAUCCCACACGGUGAAUCCCAGAAAAUCAUUUUCGUAGGUAUGUACAUCCCACAUGGUGAAUCCUAGAAAAUCAUUUCCGUAGGUAUGUACAUCCCACACGGUGAAUCCUAGAAAAACAUUUCCGUAGGUAUGUAUAUCACACACAGUUCUUUGUGUGGAAACGUUUGUGCAAGGCGGCCUAACGCAAACAGUUCGCUGCCGGAAGUCGUGUGUGAUUGUUAGUUGAUCGAACACGCCUACUUUCUAGAAACCGUGCGGAUUGUUUGAGUUCAUCGCCCACGGUGCUGUCUGAGUAACCGUUUGCAAUAGAAAACCCCAAUAAGUAGGGUAAUUAGCCUAUUAUUGAUAAUCCAUGUACUAAUCAAACUGAUAUUUCUUAUAAAACACGCCAGAUAUUUCAUAUCCGCAUAAAAGCAACCAGGAUUUCAUAAUCGAAUUACAUCAGAUAGCUUCGGCACUCAGUUACGCCAUUACACAACAGCACCAAGUUUCACAUGCAGCAUCAAAAACCUUAGGAAAGUAGCAUCAUACAUGGUAAAUAGACAGAUGACUGUCAUCUGGGAAACUGCAGAAGCGGAAGGCAAAUAUUGAGCCUUCAGUGAUGUUGAAUGUCCUUGCAACUUUAGGCCAGUGGCUAUGGAUAAUUGCCCACCCAACCUUCAUCCUCUUCAGCAAGACUUCAAUAUUGUACCAUGGGUGUUGAAUGAAUACCUUCCUCGCCUCUUGACCAUGCAGGUGGUUUGAGAGGUAAUCAUCGGUAAACUGCUUUGAAAAGUACUGAAAACAAAGCUAUCCAUAAAUCGCUGUUGUAAAUUUUGAAAUGGCGCAAGGGGUAAAAACAAGGUAAAAGAGUUGGUACCAUCCUAUAGUUGACUGAUGUCUUCUUCAUUGUGCAAACAAAGAUCUUGCUGUUAUUCGUCGCAAGUUUCUUUAUCCUAACAAUCUUUCUGAGUUUCUUGACUUGACUGAUAUUCAUGGACAUCUCAUUUCCCCAUAUGCAAAAUGGGUCGAAUAGUGGGUCUAAGCCUCUGACAGUAGGACCUACAUGUGCAAGACCAAAUUGUAAGAAACCUAAAUAUUAGAAUGAUUCCUGCAACUGCACAAUAAUGUGCUAUUAGCCAAAGGACCCUGCUUGAACAAACCUUGAUGGUAAACCACAGUGUCUCCCAUUGUUUCCCUGCAACACACAUUAAGGAAGAACUUGAUCAGGUUAACUGAGAGUUGCCAUACUAUCAGUAGAAUAUGUAUUGAGUACAACCAAAUUCGAUUGGUGUCACAUGCAUAACAAUACAAAAUCGUACCCACAGCAAAUGAAAAUCAAAUUGCAGAACUGAACCUAACAGUUAAAUGGACAGCAGACCAAAUGAACCAAAAUAGUUAACUGAGCACGACAUUGCAGAAUAGAAACAUGUACUAGAAGAUAGGACAGUUAACAAAACAAUGAAUGCUUGAGAACAGUACUACGAAAUGUAGCAAUUGUUGAACCAAAGUGUUAACUGAACAUUACAUUUGAGAGGACCAAACUGUUAACUGAACAUCAGAUUGCAUAUUAACAUUACAGAGGACAAAAUCACUAGAAGGCACUGGCGGUGGCCUCGAGAAAACAUCAUGAACUGCAUUUUAAAGUAGACAACUGCGUGGCGGUGUCGAUGGUGGCCCUCGAAGAUGAGGCGCUCCUCCAAGAUCUGGCGGUCGACACUCAUGGCAGCCAUAGCGACCUCGUUCGCGCGUGCGACUGCAUGCUACUUAGCUCCAUGUUAUACUGCGUGUAAAAUGGUUGUGGGCGGUGCUUAAUUGGUGGAGGGGGCAGUGAUUUCGGUGGAAGGUGUCACUCCGUCAGUCGGGGCAUGUGGGACAGGAAAGGAGGAGGAUGGUGUGGGUGGGGUGUGGAUUACCUGACCAUAUCGACGAGGUCGUGCAGCAAGAAGAAGGGUCAGUGGCGAGGAGGCUGUGCAGCAAGAAGAAGGGUCGGCGGCGAGGAGGCCGCGCAGCAAGAAGAAGGGUCGCCGGUGAGGAGGCGGGGCUGCAAGAAGAAGGGUAGCCGGCGAGGAGGCGACACUGUAAGAAGAAGGGUCGCCGGCAAGGAGGCUGAGCUGCCAUAAGCAGAAGUGAAGGUUUGAACUUGGAAAGCAAGGAUGAACAGUGGAAAUGUGGCUUUUGGUAGGAGGGAGGGGGCGGGGAGAUAGAUAUUUUCGCAGUGGCAAAAAAAUUUUGCUCGGUGCCGCGAGAAACUGGCGCGCAAGUGUGGUUCAAGCGGGGGCGGUGGACUGUAGACGACGAAGCUUCCUGCGUAAGCCAGACAAGACGGUGCGCCAAGAUAUUUUACAUCGCAUCCCACACGAUUCUUUCUAGUAAAUUUUUUGUGGUAUACCUGAUUUUUUCAUUAUGUUUUGAAAGACAAAAUGGUGUUAUGGAGGGAAAGGAUGGUGUUUGAAUUGCUAGAACAUUUACGUACAGUGAACAUGCAACUAGUACAUGAGUGCCGUGUUUAAAUUUGGAAUUAUUCCGGGUUCGUUUGGCAUUUUUUAUGCAUUAAUUGAGUUUCUGGGCAUUUAAUGUGCAUAAUUCAAAUUUGAACUACAAGCACAUGCUUCGAUGCACCAAAGUUUGCUGAAAAAUCACAUGUGUGUCUUUGGGUGAAUUUAUAGGUCCCAUGCAAGAAAUGGGAAUAAAAUUCAAACAUCUGGGCGUCGUGGCUCGGCCGGAAUGAUUGAGAAACUUGCUUUUUUAAUUCCUGUAAAUCCCAAACACAGCUAAAAAUCAUGAAACUUGGCAUGGUGUCAUGACAUGGCACCAACAUGCUGCAGUAUUUUUUUUGGCGAAUUGGGACAAGCUUUGGUGUAAGCUUCUUGCAAACCAGAGCUUCCCUCAAGAAGGCUCGUGGUUCCGAGAGGGAACGUGUCACCUCCGUGUGCGAAAUGACAUACGUACACUGCCUUCUCCUGCUUUAAUUUUUGUACCAAAUAGGAAUUAAAUAGAAGUAUCGUGCUAAAUUUUGGAAUUAUUCCGGUUUCGUUUGGCCUUUUUUGUACAUUAAUUGAGUUUUUGGGCAUUUAAUGUGCAUAAUUCAAAUUUGAACUAUAAGCACAUGCUCCAAUGCACCAAAGUUGUUUGAAAAAUCACAUGGGUGUCCUUGGGUGAAUUUCUAGGUCCCAUGCAAGAGAUGGGAGUGAAAUUCAAACAUCUGGGUGUCGUGGCUCGGCCGGAAAGAUUGAGAAACUUGGUUUUUUAAUUCCUGUAAAUCCAAAACACGCCUGAAAAUCAUGAAACUUGGCAUGGUGUCAUGACAUGGCACCAACAUGCUGCGGUAAUUUUUUGGCCGAAUUGGGACAAGCUUUGGUGUAAGCUUCUUGCAAACCGGAGCUUCCCUCAAGAAGGCUCGUGGUUCCGAGAGGGAACGUGUCACCUCCGUGUGCGAAACGACAUACGUACACUGCCUUCUCCCGCCUUAACUUUUGUACACUGGCAGAUUAGACCAAAUAGAAGUAUCAUGCUAAAUUUUGGAAUUAUUCCGUGUUCGUUUGGCCUUUUUUGUACAUUAAUUGAGUUUCUGCGCAUUUAAUGUGCAUAAAUCAAAUUUGAACUACAAGCACAUGCUCCAGUGCACCAAAUAUGUUUGAAAAAUCACAUGUGUGUCCUUGGGUGAAUUUCUAGGUCCCAUGCAAGAGAUGGGAGUGAAAUUCAAACAUCUGGGCGUCGUGGCGCGGCCGAAAACAUUGAGAAACUUGGUUUUUUAAUUCCUGUAAAUCCAAAACACGCCUGAAAAUCAUGAAACUUGGCAUGGUGUCAUGACAUGGCACCAACAUGCUGCGGUAAUUUCUUUGGUGAAUUGGGACAAGCUUUGGUGUAAGCUUCUUGCAAACCGGAGCUUCCCUCAAGAAGGCUCGUGGUUCCGAGAGGGAACGUGUCACCUCCGCGUGCGAAACGACAUACGUACACUGCCUUCUCCCGCCUUAAUUUUUUUACACAGGCAGAUUAGACCAAAUAGAAGUACCGUGCUAAAAUUUGGAAUUAUUCCGGUUUCGUUUGGCCUUUUUAUACAUUAAUUGAGUUUCUGCGCAUUUAAUGUGCAUAAUUCAAAUUUGAACUACAAGCACGUGUUCCAGUGCACCAAAGUUGUUUGAAAAAUCACAUGUGUGUCUUUGGGUGAAUUUCUAGGUCCCAUGCAAGAGAUGGGAGUGAAAUUCAAACAUCUGGGCAUCGUGGCUCGGCCGGAAAGAUUGAGAAACUUGGUCUUUUAAUUCCUGUAAUUCCAAAACAUGCCUGAAAAUCAUGAAACUUGGCAAGGUGUCAUGACAUGGCACCAACAUGCUGCGGUAAUUUUUUGGCCGAAUUGGGACAAGCUUUGGUGUAAGCUUGUUGCAAACCGGAGCUUCCCUCAAGAAGGCUUGUGGUUCCGAGAGGGAACGUGUCACCUCCGUGUGCGAAACGACAUACGUACACUGCCUUCUCCCGCCUUAAUUUUUUUACACAGCCAGAUUUGACCAAAUAGAAGUACCGUGCUAAAUUUUGGAAUUAUUCCGGGUUCGUUUGGCCUUUUUUAUACAUUAAUUGAGUUUCUGGGCAUUUAAUGAGCAUAAUUCAUAUUUGAACUACAAGCACACGCUCCAGUGCACCAAAGUUGUUUGAAAAAUCACAUGUGUGUCUUUGGGUGAAUUUCUAGGUCCCAUGCAAGAGAUGGGAGUGAAAUUCAAACAUCUGGGCGUCGUGUCUCGGUCAGAAAGAUUGAGAAACUUGGUUUUUUAAUUCCUGUAAAUCCAAAACACGCCUGAAAAUCAUGAAACUUGGCAUGGUGUCAUGACAUGGCACCAACAUGCUGCGGUAAUUUUUUGGGUGAAUUGGGACAAGCUUUGGUGUAAGCUUCUUGCAAACCGGAGCUUCCCUCAAGAAGGCUCGUGGUUCCGAGAGGGAACGUGUCAUCUUCGUGUGCGAAACGAUAUACGUACACUGCCUUCUCCCGCCUUAAUUUUUUUACACAGCUAGAUUAGAACAAAUAGAAGUAUCGUGCUAAAGUUUGGAAUUAUUCCGGGUUCGUUUGGCCUUUUUAUACAUUAAUUGAGUUUCUGGGCAUUUAAUGUGCAUAAUUCAAAUUUGAACUACAAGCACAGGCUCCAGUGCACCAAAGUUGUUUGAAAAAUCACAUGUGUGUCCUUGGGUGAAUUUCUAGGUCCCAUGCAAUAGAUGGGAGUGAAAUUCAGACAUCUGGGUGUCGUGGCUCGGCCGGAAAGAUUGAGAAACUUGGUUUUUUAAUUCCUGUAAUUCCAAAACACGCAUGAAAAUCAUGAAACUUGGAAUGGUCUCAUGACAUGGCACCAACAUGCUGUGGUAAUUUUUCUGUCCGAUUUGCGAAGGCGCACACAUUAACAAUCAACAAAGUCAUUUUGGAACAAGUGCUGUCACGUUACAAAUCGGAAACACAAGUAUUAUUGAAACCGUGGGCGUUCGACUUACCAAUUACGUGCGGCCACGCGUCCCCUUUUUUUAUUGGCUAGGAGGUGCCGUGCGGGGUAGCUAUUUGAGUACGGGAGGCGUGCGACCAGACCCCUGCGCGUGCUCAUCGGGAGGAGAGCCCUUUGACCGCUACCCGCCGCUCACCUCCCUCCCAACGUCUCCAUUAAUGGUGCCCGAGCACCUGUUCUACGGCGUGGCUAUAUGUCUCACUGGACUAAGAUUUAAGAGAGAAAAAUGAAAAUCUGAAAAGAAAGUUUUGCACGGAUCUUGAUGUAAGAUCCGACGGACCUAUAUAGCAUCGACUGUGAAUUAUAGCAAGCAUGAUGAAUAUAAGGACGAUGACAGUGGAUAAUAAUUGUCUUACAUAUUUAGAAACAUAAUUAAAAAAGCCACAUGCAGAAACGCCGAAAUACACAAGGGCAAAUGAAGAAGGAAGACAACGAUCUGGCUCACUGAUCUCUACUUUCUUGAUGCGUUGCUGCAGGCUGCGGGAACUAGUCUCCGCGGCGAGCGGCGAGGAGCUCUUUCUUGUCCUCAAGAUGCUGCUUGAGAGCAUCCACGGAUUCCUCCACCAGCCUUCUGCGCUCGAUGCACAACAUGGCAUUCUCGUCCAUAAGUUUCUCGACGAUGACGCCGGUCCUCUUCAACAAGGCAAUGGUCUGCUCCUGCUGCUCCACACUUCCGAUGAUCUUCGCCCUCAGCAGGUCGCGCUCGGCCCGAAGCUUUGCAUUGCUCUCAUUUAGUUGCCGGAUGACGUCGGUCGACUAUUCAAACGAGGCUUUCAGGUCAUCCUGCAACCUCGCCCACCUGGAGAUCUGAUCCAUCUGCCUAAGGACGAGGGCACGCAUGCGCCUAUAAGAGUCCUCGCCUGCCCGCGAGACAUUUUCCCAGGCCUCCGCGGCGCGGGAGGACAUCUCUGCUGCAUUCGCGGCGUGGCGGGACAUCUCUUCUGCUUCCGCGGCGUGGCCGAACCAGUCUGCUGCAUCGACGGCCGGCGGGUCCUCCGUGCUGCUUCGGCGGCACGGCGGGACCUCUCUGCUGCUACGGCUGUGCGGCGGGACAUCUCUCGUUCUUUCGCUUCCAGGCUCGCCUCUCCCUGGUGGCAAUCUCUCGACCCAGAACUCAUGCUGGCCAUGGCGGACGAAAGGGAACGAUGAUGAAUGACUAGUUUGUUUUUGACUUUUUGUGGAUGAGGAGUUGAGGAGGAAUGUGCAGUCAUCUUGGAGUAGUAGUAUUUAUAACCGCGUAGUAAUACGCUCCUAAGUGGGAAACCGUUUAGGUUUUGAUCGGUGUGAACAGGUUUGCAAUUUGGAAUGUGACGGGACGCGGCCUCCUGUUCUUCUAAAAAAAAUUAUGACGGGACGCAUGCUCAAAAUUGACUGACGGUUAUAAGUGCGGCACUAUUCCCGGAAGGCGUAACGUGGGCACGUACGCCUUCUCGGCAGCGUACGUGGCGUUUGCACCAUAGGGUGCACCGCAAUAGGAAAUGUCAGCACACGUCUUGUUCCAACAACCGUGUGCUCGUUAUUACCAUCGCACACGCUUCUUUUAAUUAGAAUGGGUGUGCCCGUCUAGCGCACACACGUUGAUCUAUCUAACUAUUUCAGUUUGUUGUGGCUAAUCGCAAACAGUUCAUCCAUGUGAAGUGUAUGCCAUCAAUCGCAGACACUUUGAUCUGGCUUACCCGUUUCUGUUCUGUUGCCUAAUCGCAAACAGUUAAUCCUUCUGAAGCGUAUGCCCUCAAUCGCACACACCUUGAUUUGGCUGACCAUUUCUUUUGUGUUGCCUAAUCACAAACAGUUCAUCCGAGUGAACCGUAUGCUGUAUAUCACACACACCUUCAUCUGGCUGCCUGUUUCUUUUGUGUUGUCUAAUCACAAACAGUUCAUUCGAGUGAACCGUAUGCUGUACAUCGCACAUGCCUUCAUCUUCCUGCUCGUUUCUUUUGUUCCUCCUCAUUGAAAACGGUUAAUUGAACUGAACCGUAUGCCCUGAAUCACACACGCAACUAAAAUCUGAACCGUGUUUGAUUCAUCCUCCAUCGCAAACAUUUUGCACCUUUUUUGACGGUCUUUUUACACCACCGUUUGCGAUUAUGGCAUCACACACAGUUUCGUCGAAGGGUCUCUGAUCGUAGUGUCGCGUUAGCAGCAUCCUGCAGUAGUGGUAGUACACUUGCCCGACAGGGUUGCCUUAGGGCGACAGUGGCUACGCGCUUAUGAAUGUGUGGGUGUCCAACCUUCUAACCCUUUCUACGGGUGCCAUGGGCCUCCUUUUAUAGAUUAAGGGGUCACCACAAUGGCAAAGUAGUCAUUAUGCACUGACAAGAUAGCAAACAGUGCUAUCAUACCUAACUCUGCAGGCUGACAGGGUGCAUUAAAUGCACCGCUCAACGUCAGAUCGUCGCUUGCCCGACAAGCCUUACCGGGUUGUUUUGCCAACUUCAUGCCUGCUCGCUUGACACGUCACAGGACGGGUGUCGUCGGUAGGUAUUUCUUGUAGAAAGAGGCUGCCAUGUGGCGAAUGGCUGGCACUUAAUCACUCUGCGGCUUGACACCGCACUGAUCGUUGACGUGGGUCGUGGUGGGGUGGUUGGGUGAGGUGGCUUUGCCUCCGCGAGUCCUGGCAGGCCUUGUCGGGAUGCCUUGGAUGCUCUCUUCCGGGGGCGGCCUCGUCCUCGCCAGGCUCGGCUUCCCGGCAAGGGAGGUUUUUCUCCUGGUGGUAUAUUGCUUCUAGCUUGGUCUUGGUCCUUUUGAUCUGCAUGUUGGUUCUUCGAAGAUCUUGGUCCCUUGUACUCUAGCCUGGCCUGGUGCUGCAAUCUUGCUCCCGUGCCUAUGCACAGUCUGGGCAAUGGACCCAGGGUUUGUUGCACCGACAGAAGCCCCCGGGCCUGCCCCGAAGAAGCUACCGAGCGUCGUCGGGGUAGGCCCUAAUAAGUGUACACGCAGGGGUGCGGAAGAGGCUGGUCUCUUGAGGUCUUCUUUGCUUCUUCAUAAACUUUGAGCCCGGGCCAGUUUCGGUUUCCCCGCGCGUCGUGCGCAAUGUUGCAGAAAAACUUGGACCGUGGCCCGCGGAUCGCCCACGCCCCACGAUCACGGGGCAGAAACUGCCAUCCUACUUGCCUCCUGCUUCACACGCACCUGCCACGUGUUCUGCAUGCAUUGGGCGCGGUAGGUGGUGGAUGCGGAGAGCGCGGGGACGAGUGUCAUGGCAGAAAACCAGGCGUCGAUGGUUGGAGCAGAGGGUCGGGCUUGAUUCUUAGAGCCACAGAAGGCGCAGGGAGGCCGUAUUGGAGGAGCAGGGCGGCCGGUCCCUGCGCGAGAGGCUAGCCCCUACCCCAUCCUUCUAUAAGAGGGGGCAGGAGCAGUGCAUUUUCACACACGCUUCUUCCCCUCUGCAACCUUUCUUCACUCGCCAUGGUGAGAGGACGAGGGCGCCGUGGUAUUCCAGCGGCGGCGACGAGGGCUUCUACUCGACAGCGCAUCCCCCCUCCCCUGGAUCCUGCAGUAGUGGAGCUCGCCGUGAGAGGAGGAGGGAGGGGGCGAGGCCGUGGUCGCAGUGGUGCUCGAGGAAGAGGAGGACGGGGCGGUGCCUCGGCCGCGCCUCCACAGGCGGCUCUUCCUCCAAUGGAAGGCCACGUCAGGGAUCAGCCUCGAGAGUUCAUCAUCAGGCUGUACAAACCUCUGUGCGACCAUCUUCUUCUACCUACUCCAUUCGCACGGGAAAUGGAGCUUGAACAACCACACGCUUUGAGGUUGCAUAUGAGGGGGUGUGGAAAUGGUGGCAUGUGGGUGGAUGUUGACUUCCCAGCCCCCCAUGUUAUGUACCUCCGCCGUGGUUCGAAGACCUUGCUCGUGCCCACAGCUUCUCGGAGGGGCACAUUCUCCAGUUUAAAUUAAUGGAGAGCAGCCUACUCUCCGUCAAGAUCUUUGGUCGCUCAGGAGCUCGCUUAGGGUGCUGCGCGGAGAGCUCGACCGACGACGAAAGCUCCUCCUCGAGCGAAAUCGACGAGGAGGACAGUGACGACGAUGACGACAGCAGCGACCCGGAGGGCGACGGCUCUGAUCCGGCUGAGCGUCUGCCCGCACCAUCUUCAUCAGGCAGCAACACCAUCAUCUGCACCUGCAUCUCCUUCCCGGCAAGAUGAUUCGCUGGGGAGUUGGAUGCAGAGGUGGGGAUGGUGCUUCUCGGCUUCUUCUAGCUGGACUCCGGCAAACUUCCUCAUGGGCUGUAGCUCCGUUAGCCCUGCUGAGUCCUGCUGGCCCUAGUGGUGGUGGUUGACGGGUUGCCUCCGCCAUGCUCUCCAUCGACGCGUUCGGUAGCGUCUUCCCGUCCCCGCCAGGCUACCUCUCCUGGAGCCCGACGGGGCUAGGCCCGGCUUCUGCCCUGGUGCUCCUUUUGUCUCCUUCACCUUCAACUGCCAUGCCAAGGAGAGGGACAAGAAAGGGCAUCACGAGGCACUUAUCUUUUUUCAAUCUUAAACCUGUAGGCAUUCGCCAAAUUGUAGUUCAAAUAAUGUAAUCUCUCGAGUCCAUGUUUGUGUUAUGUAAGAUUUUGUAACAGCCUGGUUUUUGGCCCUUUUCUUUCCUUUUUGAUUCACUGGUUUAUGCACUGAUUUUCUUUUUGGAGUGGUUCUGUGGCCCCGUCACCUCGGAAAUCAUCAUCAUUUCCUCUCCCAAGUGACUCAUCAUCCUCAAAUCUUGCCCAAGACCAUGUCAUUUCCAUUCUAGCCCAACCCUAGAAUUCUUUUCUUGGGGAAUAUUCCUUUUCUUAUUAAAGGAAUAACCCUAAUUGCCCUACGUUGUGAAGCAACCUAUAUUUCUGUCCAUCCAAAAUUCCCAAUUAAUUCUCAUAAUUUCUUUGGGUCAUAUGUUGCUCAAAUAUGCCCAAACUUUCCUGCCCUAGCCCAAGAAUAAUUCCCCAAUAAUUAUUCUUUAUUUCUUUCCAGUGUGACUUUCUGUGAAGGAAGUGCCACCUAUCCUUUCCUGAUUGCUCCCAAACCUUUUGGGCAUUCUCUUAUGUCCAAAUCAUUGCCUCAUGCCAAAGUUCAACUUUAUUUGCCUAGCCAAUCUUCCUCAGCAAUUUUCAAACUUUCUGUCAGACAGAAGGCACUGUGAAGGAAGUACUAGCUAGGAGUUUCCAUAUGAGUUGAAAUUUUGCACACUCCUUCAUGUGCUCAUAAUAGCACACUCCUCCAAAUUUCAGCUCCAUCCCUUGAUCUAUGUGAGCACAGGAUCAAAUCUUUGAUUCUGUUAAUGUUUUCAGGUUGUGAGGCAAGUAUAAUUUUUAUUGCUUUAUUAAUUCUAAUAAAUUACCAGAUUGUGCUCCUACCCUUAUAACAUCUCUCCAUCAAAUUUGGGACCAAAUCAUCAAGCCAUUUUCCCUCCAAAAUUAUUCCAAGUUUCUGUCCAGAGAAGAUGUGUGUGAAGCAAGUACCAUUUUGGCUUGUCCAUUUGGUAUGAAACUUUUACAGCAUAUUCAUAUGGCCAAAUAACUCUGUCUUGCCAAAUUUCAGCUCAAGUGGCUUCUCCAUGUGAGUGCACUUUCUUGAUCAAGUUUCUGGACCCCAAUGUGUGUUGCACAGCAACUAUAUUAGUUUGUGGUCCAAAUCCCCUCAUAAACCACAGGAUUAUAUUCCUUCUUAAGCUAAUCACUCCAGACAACUCCACUGGAACAAAUCAACUCCCUGUUGAUUAGCAGUGCACGUCCAAGUUUGAUGCAACAAACUUUGCUCAAUGCCUCACAUCUCUCCAGUGCUCCUUUUGUCGAUUCAUCACCUCUCCCAGACUCAGUGACACAGGGACUAGUCACUUGACAACUCCUCGCAGCCUCCGUCCUCUUUGUGCCAGUGCCUGUGGUGACUGUCCCCUUCGCAUGGCGUUUCACGCGCUCUGGCAGCGUCGGCCGCGCUCUGGGCGUCGGGACGCGCCGGCCAGCUCGGCAUCGGCGGUUUCCGCGCGUCUGGGCGUGCCGACCUGACUCCCCCUUCCUCUCCCGUCGCUCUCGUGUCCCUGCCCCCUCCCGAAGCCUCCUCACCGGAGCUAGACGCCGUGCGCCCACGGACAGACGAUGGCCCUUUGGCUCUGCCUUCGUCUCGGCCGCUUCCUCCCCGUGCCUCUUGGCCUCCUCCGCCUCGUUAGUCUGCCCUCUGCCCCCUCCCACCGCCUUCCGACAAGCAAGCUCGUCCGCCCACGCGUCCGCGGCAACGCCAGCGCGGCAGCUCCUCCCCCGCCUAUUUAUAGCCAGCCCCGCAGCACUCCGAGCUCACCACUGGCCUUCUCUAGCUCCCCUAGUCCUCCCGAGCCCCUUCCCGAGCCUCUGGAGCUCUCCCUGCUCACCAUCUCCGCCGCCUGGCUUCUCCUAAAUUCGCGACCACCGGAGCCCCAUUCUCCCUCCGAGCAUCACCACUAGAUCCUCUGAACUUCGGCGGAGCCCUCCCCAUCCCCUCGUUCGUCUUCCCAUCAGCAGAGUGCCGUACCCAUCUCCGGUCGAGCCGCUGUCCGCCGCGGCUAGUGCCUCGCCCGUCUCCAAGCUCCUCGGCAUUCGUGCCCUUCCUGGAUGGAACCGCCUCGGCCCACUAAUCUCUCCAGUAGGUUGAGCGCCGCCGAUGGUGGCCGGUGUCGCCAGCGAGCCUCGUCGGGGCCGGCCCGGUCCUCUGUUCUGCGGGCGCCGUCGAGCUGAAGAAGAAAGGAGCGGGAGGAGAGAGAGAAGCAGCACGGGUCCCACCUGUAAGCGACACUAGCCCGGCCCCGCCCCCUCGCUGACGUGGAUAAGUGGAGACGUACUCCUGGUGAGUACGCUUUCCCUUAUCGAAAGCGUAUUUUGCUUCUUCUUCGGGCCAGAAUGCGCUUUCCUCUCUGGAAAGCGUAUUCCUGAGAAAGGCGCGUUCUGUUUAAACUGCAAGGGACCUGUUUGUAGAAGUUACUUUUGCAGAUUAGUCCCUGGGCUUUAAACGGUCGUAUCUUUUUUCCCGUAACUCCAAAUGAGGUGAUUCCAAAGCCCACUUCUUCGUCUCGUCGAGCCCGUUCUGUUGGUUUCAUUUUCAGCAUGUGUUAACAUUUUGAAAAUGACCAUUUUGCCCUUGCACUAAAUCAGCCCCCUCCGAUAGAGAACUUUUUCCGGCGAUUCUUUCCGCGAGUUUCUCGCACUUCCUCCCAGUGAAUCCCUCCACCCCAGGCAAGCCACACCCUCCAUUUGCAUGACUGCAAUGUAGUGACAUGGUUUAAAUUAUUUGAACUUGUUAAAAUAUUGUUUUAGCUACUUGUGAUUUGUUCAUGGCAUUUCUCGGAGUAUUGUUUGAUCUUGCUAUUGCCAUGAUAUUGUUUGGAGUUCUAGGUUUAAUAUUUUGCAUCUUAUGUGGAUGAUAUGUUGCCUUUGGAUUCUUAGUGGCUAUUAUGAUUAUCUUAAUGAUGGUAUUAUGCUUUGGAGUAUUACUUGGGUAUCAUGUUGCCUUUGGAUUAUUACUAGCUAGUAUUAUUUUCAUUGCUACCUCUUGAGCAUGCGUUGGUUUUCCCUUGAAGAGGAAAGAAUGAUGCGUCCAAGUAGCGUAAGUAUUUCCCUUAGUUUUUGAGAAUCAAGGUAUCAAUCCAGUAGGAGACAUCGCAGAAGUCACCUAGUACCUGCACAAACAAUCAAGAACCUUGCAACCAACGCGAUAAAGGGGUUGUAAAUCCCUUCACGGUCACUCACAAAAGUGAGAUCUAAUAAAGAUAGAAAGGUAAAUAUUUUUGGUAUUUUUGUUGUAUAGAUUUGAAAGUAAAGAUUGCAAAAUAGUAAACGAGAUGCGAUGUAAAUAAAAGAGAUGCAAUAUAAUAAGAAAGAGACCCGGGGGCCAUAGGUUUCACUAGUGGCUUCUCUGAAGAUAGCAUGUAUUACGGUGGGUGAACAAAUUACUGCCAAACAAUUGCUAGAAAAGCGCAUAGUUAUGAAGAUAUCUAAGGCAAUGAUCAUGAAUAUAGGCAUCACGUCCGUGUCAAGUAGACCGAAAUGAUUAUGCGUCUACUACUAUUACUCCAGACAUCGACCGCUAUCCAGCAUGCAUCUAGAGUAUUAAGUUCAUAAGAACAGAGUAACACAUUAAGCAAGAUGACAUGGUGUAGAGGGAUAAACACAAGCAAUGUGAUAUAAACCCCAUCUUUUUAUCCUCGAUGGCAACAAUACAAUACGUGCCUUGCUGCCCCUACUGUCACUGGGAAAGGACACCGCAAGAUUGAACCCAAAGCUAAGCACUUCUCCCAUUGCAAGAAAGAUCAAUCUAGUAGGCCAAACUAAACCAAUAAUUCGAAGAGACUUGCAAAGAUAUCAAAUCAUGCAUAUAAGAAUGGAAGAACCAAAUAAUAUUCAUAGAUAAUCUUGUUCAUAAAUCUACAAUUCAUCGGAUCUCGGCAAACACACCGCAAAAGAGUAUUACAUCGAAUAGAUCUCCAAGAACAUCGAGGAGAACUUUGUAUUGAGAAUCAAAGAGAGAGAAGAAGCCAUCUAGCUAAUAACUAUGGACCCGAAGGUCUGUGGUAAACUACUCACGCUUCAUCGGAGAGGCAAUGGUGUUGAUGUAGAAGCCCUCCGUGAUUGAUUCCCCCUCCGGCUGAUCGCCGGAAAAGGCCCCAAGAUGGGAUCUCACGGGUGCAGAAGGUUGCUGUGGUGGAAAAGUGGUUUCUUGGCCCCCCCUAAUCGAUCUAGGGUAUAAGAGUAUAUAUAGGCGAAAGAAGUACGUCGGUGGAGCUACGAGGGGCCCACGAGGGUGGGGCGCGCCCUCCUGCCUCGUGGCUGCCUCGUGGCGUUCCAGACUUCAACUCCAAGUCUUCUGGAUUGCUUUCGGUCCAAGAAAGAUCAUCGUGAAGGUUUCAUUCCGUUUGGUAUUCCUUUUCUGCGGAAUUCUAAAAUAGACAAAAAAAGGAACUGGCACUGGGCCUCCAGUUAAUAGGUUAGUCCCAAAAAUAAUAUAAAAGAGCAUAUUAAAGCCCAUUAAACAUCCAAAACAGAUAAUAUAAUAACAUGGAACAAUAAAAAAUUAUAGAUACGUCGGAGACGUAUCAAGCAUCCCCAAGCUUAAUUCCUGCUCGUCCUCGAGUAGGUAAAUGAUAAAAACAGAAUUUUUGAUGUGGAAUGCUACCUAACAUAAUUAUCAAUGUAAUUUUCUUUAUUGUGGCAUGAAUUUUUAGAUCCGAAAGAUUCAAGACAAAAGUUUAAUAUUGACAUAAAAAUAAUAAUACUUCAAGCAUACUAACAAAGUAAUCAUGUCUUCUAAAAAUAACAUGGCCAAAGAAAGUUCUUCCCUACAAAAUCAUAUAGUUUGGCUAUGCUCCAUCUUCGUCACACAAAAUGUUCAAAUCAUGCACAACCCCGAUGACAAGCCAAGCAAUUGUUUCAUACUUUAGUAUUCUCAAACUUUUUCCACUUUCACGCAAUACAUGAGCGCGAGCCAUGGACAUAGCACUAUAGGUGGAAUAGAAUGGUGGUUGUGGAGAAGACAAAAAAAGAGGAAGAUGGUCUCACAUCAACUAGGCGUAUUAAUGAGCUAUGGAGAUGCCCAUCAAUAGAUAUCAAUGUGAAUGAGUAGGGAUUGCCAUGCAACAGAUGCACUAGAGCUAUAAAUGUAUGAAAGCUCAACAAAAGAAACUAAGUGGGUGUGCAUCCAACUUGCUUGCUCACGAAGAUCUAGGGCAUUUUGAGGAAGCCCAUCGUUGGAAUAUAAAAUCCAAGUUCUAUAAUGAAAAAUUCCCACUAGUAUAUGAAAGUGACAAAAUAAGAGACUCUCUAUCAUGAAGAUCAUGCUGCUACUUUGAAGAACAAGUGUGGAAAAAGGAUAGUAGCAUUGUCCCUUCUCUCUUUUUCUCUCUUUUUUUUGUUUGGCUUCUUUGGCCACUCUUUUUUUCAUUGGCUUCUUUGGACUCUUUUUUUCCUCACACGGGAGAGUGCUCUAAUAAUGAUGAUCAUCACACUUCUAUUUAUUUACAACUCAAGGAUUACAACUCGAUACUUAGAACAAAAUAUGACUCUAUAUGCGUGCCUCCCGCGGUGUACCGGGAUGUGCAAUGAAUUAAGAGUGACAUGUAUGAAAAAAUUAUGAAUGGUGGCUUUGCCACAAAUACGAUGUCAACUACAUGAUCAUGCAAAGCAAUAUGACAAUGAUGAAGCGUGUCAUAAUAAACGGAAUGGUGGAAAGUUGCAUGGCAAUAUAUCUCGGAAUGGCUAUGGAAAUGCCAUAAUAGGUAGGUAUGGUGGCUGUUUUGAGGAAGGAUAUGUGGUGGGUUUAUGGUACCAGCGAAAGUUGCGUGGCACAAGAGAGGCUAGCAAUGGUGGAAAGGUGAGAGUGCUUAUAAUCCAUGGACUCAACAUUAGUCAUAAAGAACUCACAUACUUAUUGCAAAAAUCUACAAGUCAUCAAAACCAAGCACUAAGCGCAUGAUCCUAGGGGGAUAGAUUGGUAGGAAAAGACCAUCGCUCAUCCCCGACCACCACUCAUAAGGAAGACAAUCAAAGAAACACCUCAUGUUUCAAAUUUGUUACACAACGGUUACCAUACGUGCAUGCUACGGGACUUGCACACCUCAACACAAAUAUUUAUCAAAUUCAUAAUUAAUAUACUAGCAUGACUCUAAUAUCAUCAUCCUGAUGUCUCAGAACAAUCAUCAAGCAUCAAACUUCUCAUAGUAUUCAACGCACUGUAUAUGAAAGUUUUUAUUAUACCCAUCUUGGAUGCCCAUCAUAUUAGGACUAGUUUUAUAGCCAAAGCAAAUUACCAUGCUGUUCUAAAAGACUCUCAAAAUAAUAUAAGUGAAGCAUGAGUGAUCCAUAAUUUCUAUAAAAUAAAACCACCACCGUGCUCUAAAAAGAUAUAAGUGAAGCACUAGAGCAAAAUUAUCUAGCUCAAAAGAUAUACGUGAAGCACAUAGAGUAUUCUAAUAAAUUCCGAUUCAUGCGUGUUUCUCCCAAAAGGUGUGUACAGCAAGGAUGAUUGUGGUAAAAUAAAAAGCAAAGACUCAAAUCAUACAAGACGCUCCAAGCAAAACACAUAUCAUGUGGUGAAUAAAAAUAUAGCCUCAAGUAAGUUACCGAUAGACGAAGACGUAAGAGGGGAUGCCUUCCGGGGCAUCCCCAAGCUUAGGCUUUUGGUUGUCCUUGAAUUUUACCUUGGGGUGCCUAGGGAAUACCCAAUCUUAGGCUCUUGCCACUCCUUAUUCGAAAAUCCAUCAAAUCUUUUUACCCAAAAACUUGAAAACUUCACAACAAAAAACUUCAACAGAAAAUCUCAUGAGCUCCGUUAGUAUAAGAAAAUUAACCAUCACUUUAAGAUACUGUAAUGAACUCAUUCUUUAUUUAUAGUGGUGUUAAAACUAAUGUAUUCCAACUUCUCUAUGGCUCAUACCCCCCGAUACUACUCAUAGAUUCAUCAAAAUAAGCAAACAACACACGAAAAACAGAAUCUGUCAAAAAUAGAACAGUCUGUAGUAAUCUGACUUGUUCGAAUACUUCUGGAACUCCAAAAAUUCUGUAAUAAGUUGGUGGACGUGAUUAAGUUGUCUAUUAAUCAUCUGCAAAAAGAAUCAACCUAAAAUCACUCUCCAGUAAAAAAUGGCAGCUAAUCUCGUGAGCGCAAAAGUUUCUGUUUUUUUACAGCAAGAUUGCAAAGACUUCACCCAAGUCUUCCCAAAGGUUCUACUUGGCACAAACACUAAUUAAAACAUAAAACCACAUCUAAAAAGAAUCUAGAUGAAUUAUUUACAACUAAACAGGAACAAAAAUCAAAGAACAAAAUUAAAAUUGGGUUGCCUCCCAACAAGCGCUAUCGUUUAACGCCCCUAGCUAGGCAUAAAGGCAAGAAUAGAUCUAGGUAUUGUCAUCUUUGGUAUGCAAUCCAUAAGUGGCUCUCAUAAUAGAUUCAUAAGGCAAUUUAAUUUUCUUCCUAGUAAAGUGUUCCAUGCCUUUCCUUAACUAAAAUUGGAAUUUAAUAUUUCCUUCUUUCAUGUCAAUAAUUGCACCAAUCGUUCUAAGGAAAGGUCUACCAAGAAUAUGAGGACAUGUAGGAUUGCAAUCUAUAUCAAGAACAAUAAAAUCUACGGGCACAUAAUUCCUACUUGCAACAAUAAGAACAUCAUUAAUCCUUCCCAUAGGUUUCUUAAUGGUGGAAUCCGCAAGAUGCAAAUUUAGAGAACAAUCAUCAAAUUCACGGAAACCUAGCACAUCACACAAAGUUUUUGGAAUCGUGGAAACACUAGCACCCAAAUCACAUAAAGCAUAGCAUUCCUAAUCUUUAAUCAUAAUUUUAAUAGUAGGUUCCCACUCAUCAUAAAGUUUUCUAGGGAUAGAAACUUCUAGUUCAAGCUUUUCUUCGUAGGAUUGCAUUAAAGCAUCAACGACAUGUUUAGUAAAAGCUUUAUUUUCAUUAUAAGCAUGAGGAGAAUUUAACACGGAUUGCAACAAGGAAAUACAAUCUAUCAAAGAGCAAUUAUCAUAAUUAAAUUCCUUGAAAUCCAAAAUAUUGGGUUCAUUGCUAUGUAAAGUUUUGGCCUCUUCAAUCCCAGUUUUAUUAAUUUUUGCAUCAAGAUCUAAAAGCUCCGAAUCAUUGGGGCGCCUUUUAACUAAAGUUGACUCAUCUCCAGUCCCAUCUUUAUCAAGAUUCAUAUUGGAAAACAAAGAUUUAAUAGGAGACACAUCAAUCACUUUUAGAUCUUCAUCAUUAUUAUCAUGAAAACUAGAAGAACACGCUUUCACAAAGCAAUCUUUUUAGCACGCAUCCUAGCGGUUCUUUCUUUGCACUCAUCAAUGGAAAUUAUCAUAUCUUUGAGAGACACAUUGAUGUCAUGCUUAGGUGGAAUAGAUCUAAGUUUCAAAGAAUCAACAUCAAGAGAAAUUUUAUCCACGUUCCUAGCCAACUCAUCAAUCUUAAGCAAUUUUUCUUCAACCAAAGCAUUGAAAUUCUUUUGCGAAUUCAUAAAUUCUUUAACACUAGUCUAAAAAUCAGAGGGCAUCUUAUUAAAAUUUCCAUAAGAGUUGUUGUAGGAAUUGCCAUAAUUAUUAGAGGAAUUACUAGGAAACGGCCUAGAAUUAAAGUUUCCUCUAUACGCGUUGUUACCAAAAUUGUUCCUACCAACAAAAUUCACAUCCAUAGAUUCAUUAUUAUUCUCAAUCAAAGUGGACAAAGGCAUAUCAUUAGGAUCAGAAGAAACACUUUUAUUAGCAAAUAAUUUCAUAAGUUCAUCCAUCUUUCCACUCAAUCGCAUGAACCUUUUUACUAGUGGAUCUUUCAGUGUGCCAUUGAGAAUAAUUAACCAUAAUAUUGUCUAGGAGUUUAGUAGCUUCUCCUAAAGUGAUUUCCAUAAAAGUGCCUCGCGCAGCUGAAUCUAAAAGAUUUCUAGAAGCAAAAUUCAAUCCGACAUAAUUUUUUUGUAUAAUCAUCCACAAAUUCAAACCAUGUGUAGGGCAACUACGUAUCAUUAAUUUCAUCCUCUCCCAAGCUUGUGCAACAUGCUCAUGGUCAAGUUGCUUAAAAUUCAUAAUAUCGUUUCUAAGAGAGAUGAUCUUAGCGGGAGGAAAAUACUUAGAGAUAAAAGCAUCUUUGCACUUAUUCCAUGAAUCAAUACUAUUUUUAGGCAAAGAAGAGAACCAAGUUUUAGCACGAUCUCUAAGCGAAAACGGAAAUAGCUUCAAUUUAACAAUAUCAUUGUCCACAUCUUUCUUCUUUUGCAUAUCACACAAAUCAACAAAAUUGUUUAGAUGGGUAGCGGCAUCUUCGCUAGGAAGGCCAGAAAAUUGAUUUUUCAUAACAAGAUUCAGCAAAGCGGUAUUAAUUUCACAAGAUUCAGCAUCGGUAGUAGGAGCAAUCAGAGUGCUAAUAAAAUCAUUGUUGUUGGUAUUGGAAAAAUCACACAAUUUAGUAUUAUCUUGAGCCAUCGUGACAAACAAUCAAUCCAACACACAAGCACACAAGAAGCAAGCGAAAAGAAAAAGGGCGAAGAAAAGGCAAAGGUUUUCGAAAAUUAUUUUAGAAGUGGGGGAGAGGAAAACGAGAGGCGAAUGGCAAAUAAUGUAAUGCGAGGGAGAAGAGUUUAUGAUGGGUACUUGGUAUGUCUUGACUUGGUGUAGAUCUCCCCGGCAACGGCGCUAGAACUCCUUCUUGCUACCUCUUGAGCAUGCGUUGGUUUUCCCUUGAAGAGGAAAGAGUGAUGCAACAAAGUAGCGUAAGUAUUUCCCUCAGUUUUUGAGAACCAAGGUAUCAAUCCAGUAGGAGACAACGCACAAGUCACCUAGUAACUGAACAAACAAUCAAGAACCUUGCAACCAACAUGAUAAAGGGGUUGUCAAUCCCUUCACGGUCACUCGCAAAAGUGAGAUCUAAUAAAGAUAGAAAAGUAAAUAUUGGAAAUUAAAGAUUGCAAAAUAGUAAACGAGAUGCGAUGUAAAUAAAAGAGAUGUAAUAUAAAAAGAAAGAGACCCGGGGGCCAUAGGUUUCACUAGUGGCUUCUCUGAAGAUAGCAUGUAUUACGGUGGGUGAACAAAUUACUGCCAAGCAAUUGAUAGAAAAGCGCAUAGUUAUGAAGAUAUCUAAGGCAAUGAUCAUGAAUAUAGGCAUCACGUCCAUGUCAAGUAGACCAAAAUGAUUCUGCAUCUACUACUAUUACUCCACACAUCGACCGCUAUCCAGCAUACAUCUAGAGUAUUAAGUUCAUAAGAAUAGAGUAACGCAUUAAGCAAGAUGACAUGAUGUAGAGGGAUAAACUCAAGCAAUAUGAUAUAAACCCCAUCUUUUUAUCCUCGAUGGCAACAAUACAAUACGUGCCUUGCAGUCCCUCCUGUCACUGGGAAAGGACACUGCAAGAUUGAACCCAAAGCUAAGCACUUCUCCCAUUGCAUGAAAGAUCAAUCUAGUAGGCCAAACUAAACCGAUAAUUCAGAGAGACUUGCAAAGAUAUCAAAUCAUGCAUAUAAGAAUUCAGAGAAGAACCAAAUAAUAUUCAUAGAUAAUCUUGUUCAUAAAUCCACAAUUCAUCGGAUCUCAGCAAACACACCGCAAAAGAGUAUUACAUCGAAUAGAUCUCCAAGAACAUCGAGGAGAACUUUGUAUUGAGAAUCAAAGGGAGAGAAGAGGCCAUCUAGCUAAUAACUAUGGACCCGAAGGUCUGUGGUAAACUACUCACGCUUCAUCGGAGAGGCAAUGUUGUUGAUGUAGAAGCCCCCCGUGAUUGAUUCCCCUCUGGCCGAUCGCCGAAAAAGGCCCCAAGAUGGGAUCUCACGAGUUCAGAACGUUGCGGCGGUGGAAAAGUGGUUUCUUGGCUCCCCCUGAUCGAUCUAGGGUAUAAGAGUAUAUAUAGGCGAAAAAGUAUGUCAGUGGAGCUACGAGGGGCCCACAAGGGUGGGGGGCGCGCCUACCCCCCUGGGCGCGCCCUCCUGCCUCGUGGCCGCCUCGUGGCGUUCCAGACUUCAACUCCAAGUCUUCUGGACUGUUUUCGGUCCAAGAAAGAUCAUCGUGAAGGUUUCAUUCCGUUUGGAUUCCGUUUGGUAUUCCUUUUCUGUGAAACUCUAAAAUAGACACACAAAAAAGAAACUGGCACUGGGCCUUCGGUUAAUAGGUUUGUAACAUCCCAGAUUUUCAAUUUGGAAUGUUAUACAUAGGUCAUUCUUGCAUAUCAUAUUUUAUUGCAUUUCGUUUUGCGAUCCUUGAAAUAUAUGAGAGGAGAUAAUAUGACUUCUCCAAAAUAAAUGAAAUAUUGGAGUAAAAUGUUAAAAUCAAAUAUUUGAUUUUAUUCGGAUUUUAUUGAUAUUUUAUUUCCAUAGGAAAAAUAUGCGUUUUCCGAAAUUGCAUAAUAGGCCCAAAUAAAUGUUCACCUUGUCCGGCAUAUUUUUAGAGGACGGGGAAAAUUAAUUUCAGGAUUUUUGGAGUCCGUUUAGUAUUUAUUUUCUUUCUUUUUCUACACGUCGGAUUGUUUAAAAAAAAGGUGUAACUCACUCCGGGCCGUACCCGGCCAGGACACCUUGGGCCGGCCUUUUUAAGCCGCGACCCCGGGGCCCCGACACCCCAGCCGCCCCGCGCCCCCUCGAAAACCCUAGCUCGAGUCGCCGCCUCGCCGCCCGCGCCGCCGGAGCCCGCCGCCGCCUCGNNNNNNNNNNNNNNNNNNNNNNNNNNNNNNNNNNNNNNNNNNNNNNNNNNNNNNNNNNNNNNNNNNNNNNNNNNNNNNNNNNNNNNNNNNNNNNNNNNNNNNNNNNNNNNNNNNNNNNNNNNNNNNNNNNNNNNNNNNNNNNNNNNNNNNNNNNNNNNNNNNNNNNNNNNNNNNNNNNNNNNNNNNNNNNNNNNNNNNNNNNNNNNNNNNNNNNNNNNNNNNNNNNNNNNNNNNNNNNNNNNNNNNNNNNNNNNNNNNNNNNNNNNNNNNNNNNNNNNNNNNNNNNNNNNNNNNNNNNNNNNNNNNNNNNNNNNNNNNNNNNNNNNNNNNNNNNNNNNNNNNNNNNAGCCGCCCCGCCGGAGCCCGCCGCCGCCUCGCCGCCUCGCCGGAAUCCCGCCGGACUCGAGGCAGCCGUCGCCGGUUUUUCUUUUAAAACCUUUUUUUAAAAACACUAGUUCGGUUUUUUAGAUCGGUUCGUCGGUUUUCUCGGUUAGUUUUAUUUAGCGGACGUUCGUCCGUACGUUCGUUUUAACGAACGGUUUUCGCCCGUUAGUCGCAGACAGUGAACGUUCGUUCGUUAGCCUUUUCGUCAGUUUUUCUUUUUCUCGGAUUUUUCGCGAUUAUUUUCGAUUGCGAUUUCUGAUCUGAUUUUCAUUUUAGUUUAUCUUUUCGCUCGUUUAUCGGAAUCAGGCGAUUCAAGCGCCUAGAUCUUCGUCUCGAAGCCCUCUUUCUGCUUAACCAACCUGAACAAGAUUUUGGUAUUGUAAAAUUUGACUUUAGUCCAGAUUAGUAAACGGAUCUUGUUUCUUUCGUAGUUUGAGUUUCGUUGCUCCGUUUGAUUUGAUUCUUUUUGCAAACCGGAGUUCUUAAGUUGAACUUUCUGGUUAGAUCUUCUUAUUUGAGUUUUACCCGUGCAUCUUCGCUUGAUUGCUUAUGUAUGCUAUUGUUUGUUUGCGAUAGAAUUCCCGGAGUGCGAAGCGUGCUACUACGAGUCUCUAGGUUUUGCGGAUCGUCAGCAAGGCUAGUAACACAUUGAUCAUACUCUUUUCAUACCCAGUUUUAUGCAUUAGUUCCAAUCCUCAAACACUGCAUGAUUAGGAUGUGAUUAACUUGUGGGUAUUGGGAAGUAGUUGAUGAGGUAGAACCUAUUACCUGUUUUAUUACCAAACCCUCGGGAGUUACUUGUACGUUAUGCUUAUAUUGCCAUGCUAUGCUUGUAGACGUGGAUUGGGUUUGAGUGUAUCCAUGACAGAUGUGAGUUGUUAAUUAAUGGUUCAACUUAAGGUGUCUACUUUAAUACACAUCUGGGUGGAUUGCUUGUUUGGGCACCUGGGGAAUCCAGUGUUGUCCUAGGAGAUCCCGGGGCAUCCGUGUGAUCAUCCUACGGUCCGCCACCCAGGCUCAAAGGGGUCGUGAGAUUAUUCAUGCUAGAAACUUCCGUGUGCAGCCACAAGCUAUUAUGGGCUCUAGCAUAGUUUGAGUAAGUUGCAUGACCUCUUCCAGUGGUAGGCUAGCAGAUGUAGGGGAUGUAGGUUGGUACUGUCUACCCAGGGUUAGAGUUAACGCUUCUGAAAGACUGUGUCUCGGUCAUCCGUUUCUCAAACACCAUGUAGUGCGAGAAAUCCAACGGAGGAGAUCGAGUCUAGUGGGGAAAAGUGCGCAAACCUCUGUAGAGUGUACUAUCUAAUCAUGGUUAGCCGUGUCCCCGGUUAUGGACAUCUUGAGUAUCUAGUACUUGGAUUAUCCUAUCGCAUCUCAUCACUCUAAAUUAAUAUGUUGGGUUGUUAAUGAUUACUUUAAUUGGGAUUGAUAUGGGGGUACCAUUCUCAAUGCUUCAACUACCAUGAUAGUCAAAUAAAAUUUAUCCUUUGUUGUAGGGAAAAAUUUGCUUUUCGCAAAAAACUAUAUAACCAUAGAGCCUCCACCAGCCAUAUAUGCAUGUAGUGAUAACAUUUAUUCUGUUCAUUGCUCUACUGUGUUACAUUGCCAGCAUAUUCCAUGUGCUGACCCGUUUUCGGGCUGCAACGUAUUAUGUUGCAGACUUUUCAGAUGAGGAGUAAGGUUCGCUAGGUCGUUGUCGUGCAGCUCAGCUAUGCCGUUGGAGUUGAUGGACUCACUUUAUCUUCCAAGCCUUCCGCUGUUAUCGUUUUAGAUGGCCUUAAGCCAUAUUUAUUGUAAUAAGUUCUCUUCUGAGAUAUUCGAUGUAAUAAGUGUGUGAUUGCCACUCUGUUAUAAAUCCUUCGAGUA